AGUAUCUCAAAAGUUCUUAUGCAUAUAUGCAUGGGUCUUUUGGACAUUGGGAGUUGCCGAUUACUGAUAAAGUGGUGGGCUCUUCUGAAAAGUAUUAGUUGAGGAGCUUUGCACUCUAUUGGUGUGAUAGACUAUCUAUGCCAGGAGAUGCAGUAUAAAGCCUCUGCUGUCUAACGGUCCUUAUUGGACAACAUGAUGA
rnacentral:misc_RNA from 1 species